CAUGCAAGUCGAGGGGCAGCAUGGUCUUAGCUUGCUAAGGCUGAUGGCGACCGGCGCACGGGUAAGUAACACGUAUCCAACCUGCCGUCUACUCUUGGCCAGCCUUCUGAAAGGAAGAUUAAUCCAGGAUGGGAUCAUGAGUUCACAUGUCCGCAUGAUUAAAGGUAUUUUCCGGUAGACGAUGGGGAUGCGUUCCAUUAGAUAGUAGGCGGGGUAACGGCCCACCUAGUCAACGAUGGAUAGGGGUUCUGAGAGGAAGGUCCCCCACAUUGGAACUGAGACACGGUCCAAACUCCUACGGGAGGCAGCAGUGAGGAAUAUUGGUCAAUGGGCGAUGGCCUGAACCAGCCAAGUAGCGUGAAGGAUGACUGCCCUAUGGGUUGUAAACUUCUUUUAUAAAGGAAUAAAGUCGGGUAUGCAUACCCGUUUGCAUGUACUUUAUGAAUAAGGAUCGGCUAACUCCGUGCCAGCAGCCGCGGUAAUACGGAGGAUCCGAGCGUUAUCCGGAUUUAUUGGGUUUAAAGGGAGCGUAGAUGGAUGUUUAAGUCAGUUGUGAAAGUUUGCGGCUCAACCGUAAAAUUGCAGUUGAUACUGGAUGUCUUGAGUGCAGUUGAGGCAGGCGGAAUUCGUGGUGUAGCGGUGAAAUGCUUAGAUAUCACGAAGAACUCCGAUUGCGAAGGCAGCCUGCUAAGCUGCAACUGACAUUGAGG
rnacentral:rRNA from 1 species